UUAGAGUGUGAGCACAUAACAAACUGAAGAAGUGAGAGAAAGAGAUGAACAAGGUGUUUGUUUUUUCAAUUGUGAUGGCUGCAGUGGUGGCGAUGGAGGUGGCUCCGCCGGCAGAGGGUGUGACUUGUAGCCCUGUGGAGCUGAGUCCUUGUUCGGCGGCAAUAAUUUCGUCAUCUCCACCAACAACUGCUUGCUGCCAGAAACUGAGGGAACAGACGCCAUGUCUAUGUGGUUACCUCAAAAACCCUAGUUUCAGGAAUUAUGUCAACUCUCCUGGUUCCAGAAGGGUUUCUAGUUCAUGUGGAGUUCGCUUUCCAAUUUGUAUAACUAAAUAAACUCAUGUUAGGUAUUAUAAUAAACUUUCACACGUCUGCUACGACAUGCGAUAGUUUUUUCAGUGAUCCAAUUCAUGCAUGUAAUAAACUGAUGUUGCAGCGUUAGUUUCAAGGAAUUAAUACGAUGUGUGAAUGAGAUGUUGAAGAAGUUAAUGGAAUAAAUCUGGUUCUUGAUUCUCUCAUUUUCUCUUGUUCUAUAGAAACAAUUAUUUUUUUCUUUUGUCAACAAUGAGUUUUUUUUUACGGGGCCACUUUCAAAAGGCCUAUGAACAGUUUAGGACUCUGGCGUCAACUUGUCAGGAUGAAUUAAGUACCAUUUGAAUUGGCACGCAUUUCAAUUUUCAAUUAAUGAUGGCAAUUUUAGAAACAUAUAAAUGUCGUUAAACAUUUUUUUUAAGAUAUAUGGAAAUAUCAGAAUUUUUCAAUAAAAUUCAAAUGAAAAGAAUGAUUGUAAAAAUAAUGUAAAAGAUCAUGGUUAAUGUUUUCACACAUUGGUAUAUUUGUUUCAGCUCUUUUAGAUGAUAUUUUGUUUAAUAUUCGUCAUCAAUUUCGUAACAUAGUUGUGUUAUUACCUAUAUAUUUAUUAAAGAGUGUGGUUUAAGUGUAUGUAUAACUUCUAUACAAGUCAUAGUGUCUAUUAACUUAAAUGUGUAUUAUUAUUUUUAAGAUGAAAUAUUUUUCAAAUAAAAGUCACCUAACAAUUUUAUACUAUUUUUUUAUUGAAAUAUAUAUAUAGAUAUCAUUUUCGGUCUCUCGCAUUAUCUUAAAGACAUGCUUAACCCUCGUUUAUUCUGAUUUAUUCACUUGAUAUAAAACCUAAAACUAAUUGAAAUUUAAUACAAUUAAAUUUUUUUCUUAAUAUAUGUAUUGUAAUUGCAACAUCAUUUAAUUAAAAAUUAUUGUAAAUAUAAUUAAUUUUUUCUUUUCUCAGCUGUAUCAUUGUUCAAUCUUUUAACAAAUGUAGUUUCAAUUAACAUAAAAUGCAAACUCAAUUAAAAAUUAAGAGUCUACUAUAUACCCUUCACAUUUCCAGUUUCAUAUAUAUAUAUAUAUAUAUAUAUAUAUAUAUAUAUAUAUAUAUAUAUAUAUAUAUAUAUAUAUAUAACAAUUUUUCUGUAUAAAAUAAAAUCUAUUCUGUGUUACUGUUUCACAAUUUAUAAUUUUAUAAAUUCUUCAUGAUCCUUAUUAUAAUUUCAAUUUUAACUACGUACUUUCCCUGUUAGACAUUGUAAUAACUAAUUGGUUGGUUGAGUUUCUUUAUUAAUCUUAAAAUAAUAGUCAUUUUAAAACUAUUACACUUCAGGAAAUAGUUUAAAAUAAUCUUAUUUAUUAUUUGUUUCAAUCAAAUGUAAACUAUAUAUUUAUAUAAAUAAACAUGAUUUAUAUAAAUAUUUGUAAAUACUAAAGUUAAAUGUUUAAGUACAAUAUAAAUAAUGUGAAAAUCUAACUCUACAUACAUUCACUAAAAAAAUUGUUGUUUGAACAGUUUUGCACAAUUUAUUAUUACACGUAACUGGUUUUUUUUUUACAAAUGGAUGAUUUUCUUCAUCCUUAUACAUACAACAUUUGUCUUUCGUGUAAUCAUUAUCAUGGAAUCAGUAAAACAUUUAUUUUGAAAUGAUCCACCACCCAUCCUUUUAAUAAAAGCAGACAUGUCACUACAUGGAAUGAAUGUUAAGAUAAAUGAGUGUGUUAACAUACCAUUAUCUUUCAAAUGAAAAAAAAAAAAAAAACACAAGAAACCUUAUAUAAAAGAUAAUGAAAGAAAUACAAGAAACCUUAUAUAAAAUAUAAAAUGUAAAGAUGAUAAAUAAAAUAUAAAAAUUGGAUGAAAGUUAAAGUGAAAGAAAGAAUAUAAUUAUUGAAUUUUUAUUCAUAAAUUAAAAAACCCUAUUAUAUUAAGUUGGAGUAUUGAGUUUCUUUUCCGUUAAAACCAGGCAAUAGUAAACUUUUAGUAUCAAAAUUCGUUUACUCUAAAGAUAAUGCAUACAAAAUUUAAGUUAUAAAAAGUUUAGAGUUUAGAUAGUUAUAAAUAUAAAUUUUAUUCCACACAUACCAAAACUUAUUUCGUUUUUGAGGAUUUUGCAUUCAUCAUUUCACGAAUCUUCCACUGCCCAAGAAGAAACGACGAAUUUCUGAAUUGUAUUAAUAAGAGGAGUGAAAAAAUUGUGUACUAAACACGAAAUUCCAAUAAUUGUCAUGCCAACUUUUUCAUCCUUCCUUCCACAUGCAUUUUAUCGUACAAGAAAUAAUUACUUACAAAUAUAGACUACACAAAUUAAUCUUUCAAAAUUAACCUUCAUUAGACACAUUACUUUCUCAACACACUUUUUUCUACAUUCAAACACAUACUAAAACCGAAUUUCUUAAUUCAUACUAAAUAACAUUAUUUCCUAUAUUCAAACUGGUACGAAAACUAAAAUUCUUGAUAUAUAUUAUAUAAUAUUAUUUAUAAAAUAAUGAUGAGUUAACUAAUAAAAUAAUAUAUUUAACAAAUACAAACAAAAUUAAGAUAGAUUUUAGUUUAUGAGAUUAAUACUCUAUUAAAAAAUAAAUAUUUAAAUUUAAUUUAAAUUCACAAAAUCAAUUUAUAAAAUAAAACUUAUAUCUUAUAUUUAAUUAUUUUUAAUUUACACAUCAGACCUUCACUUAUCAGAUAUUUUGAAAUUGCUCUCACUGUGUAAUUGUCGUAAUAUUUAAUAUGUUUAUUUACCUUUCAAAUGCAUUCCAUGUAGUAAAAAACCAUCGUUAGAAACAGAUUGAAGUGAGAAAAAAAUGAAGAAAGUGUUUGUUUAUAUUACUUUCGUAGAUGAAAAAGAUGAAAAUAAGAAAAAGAAGAGUAGAAAAGAAAUGAAAAUAAUAUAACAACACAAAGAUAUAUAUUUCUUUAAUAGAAUACCUUCAAUUAUUUUAUUAUAUUACUAUUUAAUUUUCCCAUCAGCAAGAAAAUUAAAAAGUACAUGUUGAUAAAGUACCUCCUUCUAGUCUUUCCACGCAUAACAUUGGUUAUGCUUGUGUUCAACCUUACAAGGUCCAUUAUCUAAUAUGUUCCAUACACAUUCUUCACAAUCAUCAUUCUUUUGAUUAUAAACAUCAAAAGAAUGGCUUGCUCCUUCCCAUGUAAAGCGACAAAAGUACAAAGUAGUCCUCCAAAACAAAUUAGGUAUAAAACCAAAACCAUAUGUUUCGCCAUACUUCAAUACGUGAGUUCCAAGAUCAUGGUGUUUAUCUUUGCAAUGAACACUCAGAUUCUUCGAAACCAAGAAGUUGGAUAUUGCAACAUAUACUUUGAAAUCAAGCCAAUUAUCAACUUGGGAAGAUACAACUUCAUCUUCACUACCUUUCACUUGCAAAGAGAAAACUGUUGUUAAAAGUAAAGAAAGUAAUAAUGCAAUUUUGAAGAUUGAGGCCAUCCUUUCUCUCGAUGACUUCUCACAAUUACAAUAACAUUUAAGUGUAUGAAUUAGUGGAUAUAUAAAGUCCUUGUUGAUAUGUAAUUGGAUUAUGGUUUGACUUUUUAUUGAGAUUCUUGUUUUACUAAUUAAAAAUUGUUUUUUCUUAUUUGAGUGAGAAACUUUUUAAGGUAUAUUUCAUUUUAUAUAUAAUUUACACAAACGUUUAUGAUAAAAUAAGUUGUUUGUAUACAACAUUUUAAAUUAAAAUUAAAAUUUUAAGAAUUUAUAAGGAUGAUUUGAUUGCUAGAUAGUUUUAAUUUGACCUAAAAGAUUUUUCAAACGUGAUGUGGUCUAGUAUUUAUAUUUUUUUAUACAUACCAUCUUUUUGAUAUAGUCUUCCGUAAUUUCGUUGAGUCAAAUUUCAACCUAUUUCAUUAAUUAAAAAAAAUCAAUGAAUAUGCAUAUCAUGGAAUCAAUAUCAUUAUUUCAAUUAUGUAAGUGAAAUUUUCCUUCAAAUUAAAAUUAAGUAAGAUUAUUUUUUUAUCAUCAUCAUCAAUAUUAUUUUUUAUUAAUGUAAAGUAAUGAUAUUUUAAAUUUAAUGUUGGUUAAAGUUUUUUUUUCACACAUCAUUUGUAAAUUUUAUUUUAUAUCAAACACAUUUUGUUAUUAUGUCAAUUAAUAAUGUUCAUUAAAAUGUUUUUCUCACCAAUAUUAUUAAGAGUUUCUUUUAUCUAACAUUAACAUUCCUGGUUAUUUUUUUUUAUAAUCAAUUACUAAUAUCUAUUACAUCUUUCAAUCAAUACUGUUGAAACUCUUUUAAUGGAGCUAACUUAUAUUUUUUUGCUUAAAAUUUCAAUUUUUUUUAUAUUUGUCUAGUUUUUUUUUUUUAAAUUGUAAUUAAAAUUCAAUAAACUAAAUUAACUUAUGUACAGAAAAGAAUUUUAAAAAUGAAAUAAUUGAAAAUGUAAACCAUUGAGUUUAAUAAAAGAUUUUUAAAUUAUUCUAUCCUAAUAAAAAAUAUAUACACCCACAUUGGACUUUUCUCCUCCACAAGUUAGGGGAUUUUUUUUUUUUCACUCACCUAUAUCCCUCGUACUCCUAUGUAAAAGUGGUGUUGAAACGCCAAUAGAUAGAUAGUGUAGAAGUUUGAAUUAGGGUUUGAUAAUGGGUGAGUGAAAAGUUUAAGAAUGUUAUCCCAGAAAGAGGUUUUUGGAUUGAAUUUUCCGUAGUUGUGAUGAAGCCAUGGUUAAUUCGACCACAUCAUAGCUUGUCUGUUUAAAGCAAUAGAUUAUACACACUUAUUCAUAUUCACAAAAAAGAUAAUUAACUUUUUUUUAAUAUACUUCAAACAUAAUUUAAGUGCUUUUAAAAUAAAAAAAAUUAAAUAAAAAUUUUAAUUUCAAAGUUCAUUAGACAAUAAAUUAUAUAAAAUAUAAAAUAGUUUCAAAACAAUACAUAAAAAAUAUCAUAACAAAUCAAAAAAAAUAGAGAAGAGUGGAAAACUUUAGUUGGUGUGGAUUCAAGGAUCAAUAGAAGAUAAGUUUUCAGUAUCAUAUAUAAAAUAGUAGUAAUACGUUGACAUGUUGACUGAGAUGUUGACGUAGCUUAAUAUUUAUUUGAUGUGGUGACACGUCUAUUUUUAUUAAAUAAUGUAAUCUAUGAUGAAUAAUAAACAAUUGUAAAUUGAUAAGUUCAACUUUUAUUUAAUGAAAUUUAUAGUGUUGAAUUAGACAAUUUUAAUAAAACCUGAGGUGUCAUUAUGUCAAAUAAAUGUUAAGAUACGUUAGCAUCUCAUUUUAAAUUAAAAAUGAAGAUAAAAAAAAACUUAUAUAAAAUGUAAUGAUGAUAAAUGAAGUAUCAAAAUUGGAUAACGUAUCAUUAUUGAUAAUACGAAAUUAGAAAAACCUAUUAUAUUAAGUUGUAAUAAUGAGUUUCUUUUACGUUAAAACCCGGGUAAAGUAAACUUUUAAUAGUAAAAUUCGUUUAGUCUAAAGAUAAUGCAAACAAAAUUUAAGUUUCAAAGUUUAUUUCAUACUUAACAUACAUCCAAAUCUCAUCUCAUUUUUUAGGACUUUGCAUUCAUCAUUUCACGAAUUUCCAAUAAGAAACAACGAACUUCUGAAUUUUAUUAUUAAGAGAAGUGAAGAAGUUGUGUACUAAACACGAAAUUCCAAUUUUCGAUUGCCAUACCAACUUUUUCCUCCUUACUUACACACGGAUUCUCUUUUACAAAAAGCAAUCACUUACAAAUAUAGAACUACCAUAAUUAUUCUUUCAAAAUUAACAUUCAUUAGACACAUUACUUCACCAACACACUUUUUCUAAAUUCAAAUUCAUACUGAAACUGAAUUUCUUCAUACACACUAAAUAACAUUAUUUACUACAUUCCAAUAACUCAUACUAAAAUUAAAAUUUUUGAUACAUAUUAAAUAACUAUUUAUUAAAUAUAUAUAUAUAUAUAUUAAAUUAAUUUUAUUUUUAGAUUUUAAAGUAAUCUUAGUUUAUUACAGAGGCAUCCAAUUGUUAGUUUUUUUGAAUGUGACCUCAGACGGUGGAACUGUCGACAUCUUUAGCAGAGGUUAUGUGAAAACUGAGAGUGGUUGUCAUAAAUAUUUAGUAUGAUUAUUUACCUUUCAGUCCACUCCAUGUAGUACAAAAACACCAUCCAUGUUAGAGUGUGAACACAUAACAGACUGAAGAAGUGAGAGAAAGAGAUGAAGAAGGUGUUUGUUUUUGCAAUUGUGGUGGUGGCAGUGGUGACGAUGGAGGUGACUCCGACGGCAGAAGGUGUGACUUGUAACCCUGUGGAGCUGAGUCUUUGUUUGGCGGCAAUAAGUUCGUCAUCUCCACCAACAACUGCUUGCUGUCAGAAACUGAGUGAACAGGCGCAAUGUCUCUGUGAUUACCUCAAAAUUCUCAAGAAUUACGUCAACUUUCCUGCUUACAAAAGGGUUGCUAGUUCAUGUGGAGUUACCUUACCAAGUUGUUUAUCUAAAUAAACUCAUAUUAUGUAUUAUUAUAUACUUUCACACGUCUGCUACGACGUUAAGAUAGUUUUUUCAGCUAUCCAAUUCAUGCAUGUAAUUAAUAAGCUCAUAUCGCAGCGUUAGUUUUAAUAAAUUAAUAUGAUUGUGUUGUAUGUGUGAAUGAGAUGUUGAAGAAGAUAAUGGAAUAAAUCUGGUUCUUGAUUCAC
rnacentral:lncRNA from 1 species